rnacentral:lncRNA from 1 species
CCAGGCUGCGUGCCUUCCACCGUGGGCUUGCUGGCUAGGAAGUGGGGGAGUUUUAGUCUCCGUUCAGAUUGCGUGAUUGCGUACCCUGUUUUCCUGACACCCCAAACACCCCAAACACCCCAAACACCCCAAACGCGCAGAGUUCAGAUUUCUCCCCACGCACCCGGGCUGCCAAAGGCGUGUCACACGCUGGCUAGGAGCAACUCGGCCUCAGUCACCAGCCGUGACGUGGGGGCUGGCGGUGGGCUGCGCAAGCUGGAAGCCCAGACAGUGUGCCCAGGUCAUCCUCGCCAGACCUCCGCCCGGGCCAAGGCAGAGGAGUGGCAAGAGAGACGGGUCCCAGGGUGGUGGCAGGCUGAAGUCCGGGGCACCGGGGAGACCUCCUCCCACUGUCCCCUCACCCCAAGUCUGGGCCGGCGCUGCCAGUGGCUGGGGUCUGGGGCACCUCCUCCCGCGGGUUUGAGACCCUUGUGGUUUCUCUGGGCCCGGUCUCAGCGUGGCAGCUCCGGGUCACCCCUCACCACCACUUUGCAGCUGUGCUCCCGCAGCCCAGGCUGGGCGGUCGUCCCCGCUUGCAGAGGGUCGGGGUGCAGGGUGCCAGCUCACGGAGCAAGCGUGUUUGGGUCAUUUCGGGCUGAGCGCGGCCGGGGUAGCAACUCCACUCCAUCAGUAGCGGGAAGCGAGCUGCGCCAGUUGCGAGACUGUCGCUGCCGCCGCCGCCUCUAUUGGGCCGCUGGUGACAUUGGGAGGAGACCGCUUGGAACGAGCGGAGGAGGAGGAAGAGGAGCAGGGAGGGUGGGGGUGGGGGGAGAAAGUAGCAAUUGUGCCAGGGGGCGUGUGAGCAGCCGGAGAGGCGGCCGCGCUGGUGACAACUUCUCCGGGGCGCGCGCGGCGGGCGGGAGGGAGGGAGGGUUGGGAGCGAGCGCGGAGCGCGGCCGGAGCCGGGCGCCUGGGGGAGCCGCGGGAGCCUCGGGGAGCCGCGGCCCGCGCCCUGCGCCGCCGCCGCCUGCUCGCUUCCUCCGGGUUCUCAGCUCCGGGUGCUGA